CCUGGGGUUCGGGAAGUGAGAAGGUGAGCUACGAGUGUCGUGAGCCCACCAAAUUUGAGAGAGAUCUUCAAUAUUCUCUCAAGCAUGUUUGUUGAUGAUCCAGAGCAUUCAAAGAAUCGACAGACACAAAUUGAAGGAGUUUGAUCAGCAUCAGCCGUCAAAAAUACUCUACAACGAGCUAGCACUCGUGAGGAGCCGAUCAGACCGGGAGCCUCGUAUGGAUG
rnacentral:lncRNA from 1 species